UUGUAAUUGGAAUGAUAGAAAUUUAAACCCUUUUUAAAGUAUCAAUUGGAGGGCAAGUCUGGUGCCAGCAGCCGCGGUAAUUCCAGCUCCAAUAGCGUAUAUUAAAAUUGUUGCAGUUAAAAAGCUCGUAGUUGAAGUUCUGCUGAAAGUAACCGGUCUGCUUUUAAUAAAAGUGGUAUCUUGGUAUGUAUUUAGCAAUGAUGUCCUUUGAAGUGUUUUUUACUUUAUUGUAAUAAAGCAUAUUCAGGACUUUUACUUUGAGAAAAUUAGAGUGUUUCUAGCAGGCUAACGCUUUGAAUACUGCAGCAUGGAAUAAUAAGAUAGGAUUUUAGUUCUACAUUAUUGGUUUUAAGAGCUAAAUUAAUGAUUGAUAGGGACAGUUGGGGGCAUUUGUAUUUAACUGUCAGAGGUGAAAUUCUUAGAUUUGUUAAAGACAAACUACUGCGAAAGCAUUUGCCAAAGAUGUUUUCAUUAAUCAAGAACGAAAGUUAGGGGAUCGAAGACGAUCAGAUACCGUCGUAGUCUUAACUAUAAACUAUGCCGACUAGAGAUUGGAGGUCG
rnacentral:rRNA from 1 species